rnacentral:misc_RNA from 1 species
AGCUGCAGAAAGUAAGCUAUCAUAGCAAUUUCUCAUGUCUUGCAUGUCCUGGGCUGCUUCAGCGAGCUCAUCCAACUGAGCGGAAGGUAAAAGGUCUCUUUUGUCCUUAGCAUCGGUCUUGUGAAGCUUAAAUCCAAACUUACCUAACGGAGAUUUCAUUUCUCGAAAACCCUAACGCAAUGAGGCGGAAACAAAGCAGACCAAGAGAGGCACAGGGGGAGAGAGGAAGAGAGAUAAUCGAAGCUCUUCGUUUUCCUCGUUUAGCGUGGAAUCCAAAUUCUCCGUUAAUUUGGAGAGGAAUU